rnacentral:rRNA from 1 species
AGAGUUUGAUCAUGGCUCAGGACGAACGCUGGCGGCACGCUUAACACAUGCAAGUCGAACGAGAGAAGAGGAGCUUGCUUUUCUGAUCUAGUGGCGGACGGGUGAGUAACACGUGAGCAAUCUGCCUUUCAGAGGGGGAUACCGAUUGGAAACGAUCGUUAAUACCGCAUAACAUAAUUGAACCGCAUGAUUUGAUUAUCAAAGAUUUAUCGCUGAAAGAUGAGCUCGCGUCUGAUUAGCUAGUUGGUAAGGUAACGGCUUACCAAGGCGACGAUCAGUAGCCGGACUGAGAGGUUGAUCGGCCACAUUGGGACUGAGACACGGCCCAGACUCCUACGGGAGGCAGCAGUGGGGAAUAUUGCACAAUGGAGGAAACUCUGAUGCAGCGAUGCCGCGUGAGGGAAGAAGGUUUUAGGAUUGUAAACCUCUGUCUUCAGGGACGAAAAAAGACGGUACCUGAGGAGGAAGCUCCGGCUAACUACGUGCCAGCAGCCGCGGUAAUACGUAGGGAGCGAGCGUUGUCCGGAAUUACUGGGUGUAAAGGGAGCGUAGGCGGGAUCGCAAGUCAGAUGUGAAAACUAUGGGCUUAACCCAUAAACUGCAUUUGAAACUGUGGUUCUUGAGUGAAGUAGAGGUAAGCGGAAUUCCUAGUGUAGCGGUGAAAUGCGUAGAUAUUAGGAGGAACAUCAGUGGCGAAGGCGGCUUACUGGGCUUUAACUGACGCUGAGGCUCGAAAGCGUGGGGAGCAAACAGGAUUAGAUACCCUGGUAGUCCACGCCGUAAACGAUGAUUACUAGGUGUGGGGGGACUGACCCCUUCCGUGCCGCAGCAAACGCAAUAAGUAAUCCACCUGGGGAGUACGACCGCAAGGUUGAAACUCAAAGGAAUUGACGGGGGCCCGCACAAGCAGUGGAGUAUGUGGAUUAAUUCGAAGCAACGCGAAGAACCUUACCAGGUCUUGACAUCGUAUGCAUAGCUCAGAGAUGAGUGAAAUCUCUUCGGAGACAUAUAGACAGGUGGUGCAUGGUUGUCGUCAGCUCGUGUCGUGAGAUGUUGGGUUAAGUCCCGCAACGAGCGCAACCCUUACUGUUAGUUGCUACGCAAGAGCACUCUAGCAGGACUGCCGUUGACAAAACGGAGGAAGGUGGGGAUGACGUCAAAUCAUCAUGCCCCUUAUGACCUGGGCCUCACACGUACUACAAUGGCUGUCAACAGAGGGAAGCAAAGCCGCGAGGUGGAGCGAACCCCUAAAAGCAGUCUUAGUUCGGAUUGUAGGCUGCAACCCGCCUACAUGAAGUCGGAAUUGCUAGUAGUCGCAGAUCAGCAUGCUGCGGUGAAUACGUUCCCGGGCCUUGUACACACCGCCCGUCACGCCAUGGGAGUCGGUAACACCCGAAGCCUGUAGUCUAACCGCAAGGAGGACGCAGUCGAAGGUGGGAUUGAUGACUGGGGUGAAGUCGUAACAAGGUA